AAGGCUAAAGGAGUGCAACCUUCUCGAGCACAAAUUUAUAUAAACACUCAAACCCGACAAAAUGGAAGCAUUGUUAGAGAAAAAGCUGCUACUGUAAUUGAUGAGUUGAAGAAGCAUAUGAUUGAGGCAGAAAGUUCACAAACCACUCAAGAUACUACCAAUUGGAAAAAUGAUAUAUACUCAAAAGUUAAAGGACCUGAAAAAAGAGGACGAGUGCGUUGUCUUGGAAAGCUUCCACGACAUGCAAGUUCAUACCAAAGCUCUACCAUAGACAAUAGGAUUCAAAAAUUAGAGAGUUUGCUUGGAAAUCUUGUUGUGUCCUUCAAUCACGGUUUGUAGAUGAUCCACAGAUUAAUCAAGUUUUACAAGCUGUAGCUGAAGAGGUACCUACAAAUGUUUCAAAUGAUUCUAUCAGUGAAAAUCAUCAAACUGCAAGAGACCCCAAAUGAGAAAAGUUGAUAUAGGAUUGGUGAAGGAUUUACAUGCAGUAGAUCAUCAUAGAUGGCAAUACUUACAGGAUGACAUUUAUCAAUACAAUAUGUUUUCCUUUUUUUAUUUCUAAUUAGCAACUUUAAUAUCAUGAAUU